rnacentral:rRNA from 1 species
ACGAACGCUGGCGGCGUGCUUAACACAUGCAAGUCGAGCGGUAAGGCCUUUCGGGGUACACGAGCGGCGAACGGGUGAGUAACACGUGGGUGAUCUGCCCUGCACUCUGGGAUAAGCCUGGGCAACUGGGUCUAAUACUGGAUAUGACCUGCUCUCGCAUGGGGGUGGGUGGAAAGAUUUAUCGGUGCAGGAUGGGCCCGCGGCCUAUCAGCUUGUUGGUGGGGUAAUGGCCUACCAAGGCGACGACGGGUAGCCGACAUGAGAGGGUGACCGGCCACACUGGGACUGAGACACGGCCCAGACUCCGACGGGAGGCAGCAGGGGGGAAUAUGGCACAAUGGGCGGAAGCCGGAUGCAGCGACGCAGCGUGAGGGAGGAAGGCCGUCGGGUUGUAAACCGCUUUCAGCAGGGACGAAGCGUGAGUGACGGUACCUGCAGAAGAAGCACCGGCUAACUACGU